rnacentral:lncRNA from 1 species
CCCUAACAGAGAUUGCGAAGAUUUUCAAAGUGGGGCACCUCGAUUUCUCGAAUCUGUGGUGUGGCGAAUAUCCGUGUUCCUCCUGCUUAACUAGCCUGUUUGCAAAACAAAUGCAAUGGCGGGGGGCAGGAAUAACUAAUCUAAUACAGGUCUGGUAUUUCAUGAUUUGAGCAGUACUAUGCUAGACUGAGAUGUCAUUCAAAUUCCUGCCAUUUCUCUAACUUGUAUUCUCUGGCAAAAUGAAGGUCUGAUUCUAUUUAUUCUAAAGACAGAGUUGGAGAUGGGCUACCAUUGGUGUUGAUUGAGAUGACAAGCAGUCACCUGAGCCCAUACAGCUGAGAUCCUGAGUUCAAUUCCCAGCAACCACAUGGUGGCUCACAAACAUCUGUAAUGAGAUCAGGUGCCCUCUUCUGGUGCCUUUGAAGACAAAGACAGUGUAGUGUCAUAUAUAUAAAAUAAAUAAAUCUUUAGAAAUUUGAAAA